AGGGAAUAUUGGGCAAUGGACGCAAGUCUGACCCAGCCAUGCCGCGUGCAGGAUGAAGGCGUUAUGCGUUGUAAACUGCUUUUAUACAGGAAGAAACGACUCUUGCGAGAGGCAUUGACGGUACUGUAUGAAUAAGCACCGGCUAACUCCGUGCCAGCAGCCGCGGUAAUACGGAGGGUGCAAGCGUUGUCCGGAUUUAUUGGGUUUAAAGGGUGCGCAGGUGGUUUAUUAAGUCAGUGGUGAAAGACGGUCGCUCAACGAUUGCAGUGCCAUUGAUACUGGUAGACUUGAGUAAAGUAGAGGUGGGCGGAAUUGAUAGUGUAGCGGUGAAAUGCAUAGAUAUUAUCAAGAACUCCAAUUGCGUAGGCAGCUCACUUGGCUUUUACUGACACUCAUGCACGAAAGUGUGGGUAUCAAACAGGA
rnacentral:rRNA from 1 species